CACGGUGAAGGUGUAAAGCAGAAGGCUGGCCAAGGACCAAGGUCCCAGCAAAUGAUGCUGGGAGAAGGCACGCGUCUGAGAGUACACAAGUUCCUGCUGAACCAACUGUGUCCCCAGUUCUUGCUUCAAGAAAAUGUGAAACUCUGCACGAGGAUGCUAGCACGUACGAUUCCUGGCUUCUUGGGAAAUCUCACGCACAAAACUGCCUUUCUCCUCUGCACUGACCGAAUCCACAGUGAGACACCGUGAGGGACAAACUCAGGCUGAGAUUGUAGCUCACUGUGAAGUCCUGAGUUCAAUCCCCAAUACUGGAAAAAAAAAAUUACUGCUGAAAAAUGUUAACAAUCACCUUCACUGCUGGAAAAAAUGUCACCAAAAGUCUUGGCUUGACUCGGAG
rnacentral:lncRNA from 1 species